AUCACUCCUCAGCCUUUUGGCUAUGAUCAGGUGUAGUAUCUCUUCUUACCAAAUUUAUAUUUGGCACAUCCUCUACCCAAAUGCCACACUCAGGCUUACAUAUCUCUCUCAGUCAUUCUGGCAAAGCAAAUCAUAAGUCAGUUUUCUCUUGGAACCUGGCAAAGACCUCCCAGCCUUCUAGAGCUCAA